rnacentral:rRNA from 1 species
UACGUAGGGGGCAAGCGUUGUCCGGAAUCAUUGGGCGUAAAGCGCGUGUAGGCGGCCUUGUAAGUCCGUUCUGAAAGCCCGGGGCUCAACCCCGGGAGGCGGAGGGAUACUGCAAGGCUCGAGUACGGAAGAGGCGAGUGGAAUUCCCGGUGUAGCGGUGAAAUGCGCAGAUAUCAGGAAGAACACCAAUGGCGAAGGCAGCUCUCUGGGACGGUACUGACGCUGAGACGCGAAAGCGUGGGGAGCGAACAGG